rnacentral:rRNA from 1 species
GUGAGGAAUUUUCCGCAAUGGGCGAAAGCCUGACGGAGCAAUGCCGCGUGAAGGAUGAAGGCCUAUGGGUUGUAAACUUCUUUUCUUAGAGAAGAAUAUUGACGGUAUCUGAGGAAUAAGCAUCGGCUAACUCUGUGCCAGCAGCCGCGGUAAGACAGAGGAUGCAAGCGUUAUCAGGAAUGAUUGGGCGUAAAGCGUCUGUAGGUGGCUUCAAAAGUCUCCUGUCAAAGAUCAGGGCUUAACGCUGGGCCGGCAGGAGAAACUCUGAGGCUAGAGUUUGGUAGGGGCAGAGGUAAUUCCCGGUGGAGCGGUGAAAUGCGUAGAGAUCGGGAGGAACACCAAAGGCGAAAGCACUCUGCUGGGCCACAACUGACACUGAGAGACGAAAGCGAGGGGAGCAAAAGGGAUUAGAUACCCUUGUAGUCC